GCACGCCAUCCCGUCCGAUCUGGCAAGUUAAGCAACGCUGAGCUUCCUUAGUACUUGGAACGGAGACGUCCUGGGAAUCGGGGGUGUCGUAAUCUU